rnacentral:rRNA from 1 species
GACGAACGCUGGCGGCGUGCCUAAUACAUGCAAGUCGAGCGAAGUUUUUCUGGUGCUUGCACUAGAAAAACUUAGCGGCGAACGGGUGAGUAACACGUAAAGAACCUGCCUCAUAGACUGGGACAACUAUUGGAAACGAUAGCUAAUACCGGAUAACAGUAUUUCUCGCAUGGGAGAUAUUUAAAAGUUGGUUAUGCUAACACUAUGAGAUGGCUUUGCGGUGCAUUAGCUAGUUGGUGGGGUAAAGGCCCACCAAGGCGAUGAUGCAUAGCCGACCUGAGAGGGUGAUCGGCCACACUGGAACUGAGACACGGCCCAGACUCCUACGGGAGGCAGCAGUAGGGAAUCUUCCGCAAUGGGCGAAAGCCUGACGGAGCAACGCCGCGUGAGUGAAGAAGGAUUUCGGUUCGUAAAGCUCUGUUGUUAGGGAAGAAUGGAUAUGUAGUAACUAUACAUGUAAGAGACGGUACCUAACCAGAAAGCCACGGCUAACUACGUG